UGGGGAAUUUUGGACAAUGGGCGCAAGCCUGAUCCAGCCAUGCCGCGUGCAGGAUGAAGGCCUUCGGGUUGUAAACUGCUUUUGUACGGAACGAAAAGGUGCCUUCUAAUAAAGGGCGCUCAUGACGGUACCGUAAGAAUAAGCACCGGCUAACUACGUGCCAGCAGCCGCGGUAAUACGUAGGGUGCGAGCGUUAAUCGGAAUUACUGGGCGUAAAGCGUGCGCAGGCGGUUUUGUAAGACAGAGGUGAAAUCCCCGGGCUCAACCUGGGAACUGCCUUUGUGACUGGAAGGCUGGAGUGCGGCAGAGGGGGAUGGAAUUCCGCGUGUAGCAGUGAAAUGCGUAGAUAUGCGGAGGAACACCGAUGGCGAAGGCAAUCCCCUGGGCCUGCACUGACGCUCAUGCACGAAAGCGUGGGGAGCAAACA
rnacentral:rRNA from 1 species